rnacentral:rRNA from 1 species
GACGAACGCUGGCGGCGUGCUUAACACAUGCAAGUCGAACGGAAAGGCCCUGCUUUUGUGGGGUGCUCGAGUGGCGAACGGGUGAGUAACACGUGAGUAACCUGCCCUUGACUUUGGGGUAACUUCAGGAAACUGGGGCUAAUACCGGAUAGGAGCUCCUGCUGCAUGGUGGGGGUUGGAAAGUUUCAGCGGUUGGGGAUGGACUCGCGGCUUAUCAGCUUGUUGGUGGGGUAGUGGCUUACCAAGGCUUUGACGGGUAGCCGGCCUGAGAGGGUGACCGGCCACAUUGGGACUGAGAUACGGCCCAGACUCCUACGGGAGGCAGCAGCGGGGAAUAUUGCACAAUGGGCGGAAGCCUGAUGCAGCAACGCCGCGUGCGGGAUGACGGCCUUCGGGUUGUAAACCGCUUUCGCCUGUGACGAAGCGUGAGUGACGGUAAUGGGUAAAGAAGCACCGGCUAACUACGUG